rnacentral:lncRNA from 10 species
GGGAGCUGGUAUGUGCAGAGAUCACAUGGUGAGAGAGGAAGCAAAAGAGAGAGGAGAGGGAGGUGCUAGGUUCUUUUUAACAACCAGCUAUCAUGGGAACUACUAGAGCAAGAACUCACUCAUUACCACAAGGAUGGCACCAGGCCAUUCAUGAGGGAUUCACCCCCAUGACUCAAACACCUUCCAUCAAGCCUUAUCUACACCAUUGGGGAUCAAAUUUCAACAUGAGGUUUAGGGGGAAAUAUCCACAUUAUAAUAAUAUGUUAAAAGUUUUAUAAUUUCUUGGACAUCUUCAAAUACUUUUCUUUCUCCUUAACAGGUGCAUGACAUCUAGUUUGAAUAGAAGACUCCUGAAUUAUAACUCUUUUUCUUUCUGUAAUUCAUAGAUAUUAUUCCAGUCUUCUGCAUUCUAGUGUUGCAGAUGCUCUUUAUUUAGAUGAGGAAG